rnacentral:rRNA from 1 species
GUCUACGGCCACGGUGCCCUGAACAUGCCCGAUCUCGGCCGAUCUCGGCCGAUCUCGGAAGCUAAGCCGGGUCGGGCCUGCUUCGUACUUGGAUGGGAGACCACCUGGGAAGAGCAGGUGCUGUAGGCG